UCUAGACUUUCCUUUUGGCUAAUUGUGAUAUACUUCUUUGAAACAAUGGUAAAUAUGUAUGCUUUGUUGAUUUUUUGUCAUAUUUUGUGGUUAUAAUGCACAUUUUUAUUGAUAAUUCAACUUGCAACGAAAUCUUUCAGAGUAAAUUCGGAUUGCGUUCUCAUUUCAGGUUCUACGUAACGCAGUCAGGUGAAUCGACUGGUCCUUUUCAUGCUUAGCGACAUUUAUAUGAAGGUUUACUAAAUUUUGAGAAACACUUGUCAGGACACAAGAUUGAAAGAAAGACGUACUGAAAAACUGCCUGUAAACACAACAAUCAUUAAAGUCAAUGGAUUACCCAGGAACAUCCAAGCAAUAUGAUAUCAGAGACUGGCAAUUUUUAUCACUUGAUGUGGCAGAAAAACCUAAAUAAAUAUUGAAAUGUUCAA